GGUAAAUAUUGUGAUCCAAUCAACAAGAGUAAGCUUGAUGUGCUGCAUGGUGGUAGGAUCUAGCUUUGAAUCCUUCAUACUGUCCUGAGCUAUUAUGGAAGGUGCAGCCCGUUGAUACAACUUCUGCCUUUUGCCACCCUUGACAAAAAAUUAAACGGUGCUGUUUUGCAUCUUCAGAAAUGUUCGUGCAAAACAGAAGGAAUUGUGUUGUGUAAUUGCAGUCAAGUGCAACGCA